UUCUUUUUGGCCUUCCAAGCCUCUGCAGGGGCCAGAGACAAGCGGGGAGAAGAGAGUCCCCUGCGGCUGCAGAGGCUUUCUGAGCUGGAACAGGGGCUGGAGAGCUGGGCCAGCUGGGGUGGGAGGCGCCUGACAGCUGGGACCUGGGGACUUGGCCUGGCUGGGGUACUGGAGGGCAGCUCAGCGAUGAGGGAGCCAUAAAAAGUGCUGGUGUCUGGAAGCAGGGGCACGCCGGGGCUUCGGGAGUCCCAGGAGAGCACUGUGAUAUAAAUGACAGGAGGAAUUAUGCUUUUCACAGACUCCUUAAGAUCUCUGACCUGGUCCCCCAAACUCAGCACCCAUUUCUAUUCCUGGAUGAGGGGAAAUCUGAGUCACCCAGAGCUGGGAGGUAGUAAUGACAGACAGCUAUGUAUGCUGAGGUAAAAAGAAGACCUGAAGACAAAUCUUGUUUGACAAUCUCUAUCUGUCACAGCUUA
rnacentral:antisense_RNA from 1 species